rnacentral:lncRNA from 1 species
CUUUUUAGUUUAUAAUUUGUGGCUCUGAAUAAGUCAGUGGGAGACUUUCCAGUGGAGUAAGCCAGCCUACACUAAACGCAUGGUGCGAAACCCAGACAAAGGAAUACUGUCACCAGGCAACUGGACUCGGUUGGACUCCAUGUUCUUGGGCGUGACAGGUGUGCCACACUAUCUAGAUGUGUGGUCCGACACCAGUCGACUGUAACCCGGAGCACUUUUGAGACAAGACCAGCACAAGUCAUCAGACUGAAUAAAUCCAGAUGUCCUCUGUUCUCUGAUGAGCGCCUUACCUGGUCAGCCCACAGCUUAGGAGAAGGAGAUGGAGGUGUCUGAGGGAGAGAGAACCCAGCCUCCGGGCUCACACUGCACCGCCAGCUCUUUGUGGUACGCCAACACACUUCCUGUGAUUGUACCUAAACACCUGAGCUGGGAAGUUUAUAAAACAUAGAAAGCUAUUUAUCUCUGAGGAUGUGCAAGUCCAAGGACAUGGCACUGGCCGUCGUCUGCAUGGCUUCUGGCACAGUACUUGGUGCUGCUUCAAGGAAUGCCCGAGAGCACAGGGUAAGUGGUGCUUAUACAAGACACACACACACACACACACACACACACACACACACACACACACGAGCGUGCACUCACGAUGAACCAAGCCCUACAGAGUUUGCACGGGAGCAUCACCAACCUCCAAAUGACCAAGUACAUGUCAUGGGGAACCGAGCCUCCAGGACAGCCUUUCAGGGGAGACUCUUUACCCAAACGGUAAAGCAGGACCAUGCCUCAAUAAGUCCUGGAGAACAAUCACAUUCAGAGCUCAGGACCUGGAGGCCCUGCCUGCUGAGCUGCCCUACCAGUGGGGGCUUUGUCAUGGGCUACCUUCAUUGUCAACCUGACUGGAUUUGGAAUCAUCUAGAAUACACACCUCUGAAGGGAAGAACCACCCCGAAUGUGGGAGGCACCAUCUUCAUGCUAAAAUUGAAGGAAGCAUGCCGAGCCAACGUUCAUCCUCUCCCUGCUUCUGGACUGAAUGCGACCCAAUCACUUCAUGUUCUUGCUGCCAUGGUGGUCCAUGGAUCAAAUCCUGAGCCAGAAUAAAUCCCUUUCCCC